AAAUUAACAGAAAUCAACAGAGAACAAUGUCCGAUUUCGGGCUCCAUUAGCAAUCCGUAAUUAAUUAUGUAUAUUUAUCUAAUUUGUACAAAAGACCGUAUUAUUAUUUAUUUAAACUUCACAUCUAUGAUAGGAAAUAGGGUGAGGGGUCCUUACUUGAUUCGAUGCCGCAAACUAAAUGGUUACUGCGCCUACAGGCGGUCCAUAGGUUCCCUG
rnacentral:lncRNA from 1 species